GGAGGAGGAGGGUGAAGGUUGGACAAUGUGCAGUAACGUGUUGUGCUAUGCACCACCUUCUACUCCCUGCACAGAUGUGUAGAUACACUUCACCCUCCAGACUAAUUGAAUCUACGUCUCCACGGCUUGCCUUCCCAGAAUGGGCAGAACCAGCUGCUAUGACUGUGGCUUUUUUUUUUUUUCUUCCUCCAUUUUUCCAUUUAGUUUCUGAUGAAAGCCUGAUGAGAGCCGAGCUGUGCAGAGAGCGGUCGGCCGUCAGCCUUUCCAGCAGGGCUCCUCCAGCUGAGGGGAGAGCGAGGGUCUGGUGUCCAGCUGUUCUCUCACCCAGGAGGACGGAAACCUCCCUCAGCUGCAGGGAACUCAGUCAACCUGAGCUCCUCUUAUCCCAACAAACAUUUGUUCAACACAAGCCCAAAGAAGGACGGACGUCUCCCACCGUCGGUGCUCGGGUCCUAAUUCUGUUUCAGGAAGACAUUAAGGUUGGAACAAACUUGAACCAGACAGCUGCCAUCUUAAAACCUUGUUGUUCGGGGAUCGAACGCAGAGCUUGGACUCCGCACCAGUCCCGUCUCUGCUGAUGGAUCCCAGCCACCACACAGAGCCUUAUAUAACUCUUCACACUGUUUGGACACCAGUCGCCUGAUCUGGGAUCAGAGGGGCCAAGUGAACGUCAACACAGUAAACUUCAGACUCUGGGGCAGAGCCGAGUAAACACACGGUCGGGUGGCACAAAGACCAGGAGCUGCAUUAACUUCCCGAAGCUGCUCGUAAAAAAAUGUUGCAUCAAUGACUCCUCAGUGUAAAACCACUGAAUCUAUAGUCACUGCAGCAACAUCAGCAGGAAAACCUCUCACAUGAUCAGUCGUUGCUCUUUUUUUAUAAAUUUUAAAUUUCAUCGUCACAGAUAGGAGAGUUUAGGAGCUGCAGGUCUCUGGGGACAGAACCCACAACCUCCUGAGUCUGAACCUCAGUCCAGAGCGACCUGAAGAGUCGGGCUCGUCCAGAUCUCCAUCGAGGACCAGGAUCAGUCGCUGCUCCUCCAGUCGAUGACCUCUGUGACCUCGUCCACAGGCCACACACUCGCUGACCUGAGCAGGGAGCUCUCUGGUGGGUCUGCCUGACAGCUGACCCUCCAUCCUUUCACCAGCAUCCACAGACGGUGACUCCAGGCUCCGUCUGCUCACACCAACCAUGGCCCUCCACCUCCCGGACGUUUGCUAUGUCAGGUCGCUGACAGACGUUAGUGGCUGCUGGGACGCAGCCUCCAGCUCCCUCACCACCACCAUCACUGCACACAGGGGAUCCUGCUGCUGCCUUCUAUGGUGCAGGAGCAGAGGAAUGAGGAGAAAAAUGUGAGCGUCUGAAGUUGGAGACGUGGCUGAGGAGCGAGCCAGAUUUUUCACACCCAGAGUCGAGUCAUCCCACCCAGGCUCCUCCGGGUCGUACGGGAGGCGUGAGUCUGCAGGAGAGCUCAUCUCCUCCGAGCUGGAGAGCAGCAUGGAAACAGAGGGAGGGAUUUCUCCUGGAAGACUAAAUAUUCCCUCCUGAGGGGACGACACACGGGGUCAGGGGAAUCUUCAGGAAUGUGAUAGAAAACUCAUCAGCUCUGGACUCCGCUGUCUCUUUAUUUAGGAUGAGGAGUCAGACAGUGACCUGCUGAUGCCUCCUCGUCUUCAUCGCUCUGUGAUGAUGAUGAUGAGGUCAGGGUCAAAGUCAGAGACCUGAGAUGACGAGGGUGUGUUCUCCUCCUCCCGAUAUCCUUCCUUGACAACCAGGAAGAGGAAACCUCCACAAACACUUUGUUAAACUGUCCUCCAUGACCAAGCAUGUGGGAAUGUGAAGGGAGGAACUGAUUAGACUGAACGUCUGAUCUGAACGUCCGUACGCUCGCUUUUCUGAUGGGAACCGACGAGCUGCAGAUCCUCUCCGACGACCCCCUCACUUCACGGCAGACUCUUUUUUUUUUCUCUUUUCCACCAGUCUUACGCAUGAGGAGUCAAACGAGAAGCAUUCCAGCACAUUUCAACAACUGCCUGUGUUAGCGUUUCCCCGAUCGCCUCCAAAACCAGAGUUUUCCACAUGAAGCUUCGUUUACCAAAUAUAAAUAAUCAGGUUUUAAUAAACUCCAUCUUGGUUUUAAAAGACCAAGAACCACAAGAAAAGAAAAGAAAUUCUUCCACAGUCUUGAGUCUAUUUACAAGUUGGAUGUUUGGAUUGAAGAUGUGUAAUAACCAAACUGUGCAACUUCUCUUACUGAGAACAUCGUGAUGACAAGACUCAAAACUUUAGCUGCAACAAAACAAACUGUUUGCUCUAUAAUGUUAUGACUUUUUAAUCAAAGAGUUUGUUAAAUCAAGGGGAAACGUUGACUUUGAAAACAUUGAAAAGCUUUAAUGGCACAGAGAAAGAACAGAUAUAAAAGCUGUAUUGAAAACAUACGAUUUUGAGGUCGCCAUUAAUUAACCAAUAAUCUUAAAAUUGUAAUAAAAAACACUUACAAUGUUAAAUAAAAAAAUUGUAAAAUAGUGAGGAUGGGUGGAAUUAUAUCAUUUAUAUUUGUAGUAAUUUUAAGGUUUGUAUAUGAUAAUAAAACUAUUAACUUAACUUGAAUAAGA